rnacentral:rRNA from 1 species
UACGUAGGGUGCGAGCGUUGUCCGGAAUUAUUGGGCGUAAAGGGCUCGUAGGCGGUUUGUCACGUCAGGAGUGAAAACUCGGGGCUCAACCCCGAGCCUGCUUCUGAUACGGGCAGACUGGAGGUAUGCAGGGGAGAACGGAAUUCCUGGUGUAGCGGUGAAAUGCGCAGAUAUCAGGAGGAACACCGGUGGCGAAGGCAAUCCCCUGGGCCUGCACUGACGCUCAUGCACGAAAGCGUGGGGAGCAAACAGG